CAGAAAAUAAACAGAAACCAACUUACAAAAGUGGAGAAAAUGACAGAAACUCAACCAAGAAACUGAACGGAAUUGCAAAGGGUAGCAAGCUGCAGCCUUUUUCUCCUUUUCUUUUUUAUUCAUCUGAUAUUCUCCUUAAUUUCUUCAAUGUUUUCUGAAAUAAACCAAAUAUAUACAAAUUCUCUCUGAUAUUAUGAGGCUGCUCUCAAAGACAUUCCGAUCCAUAAAGCCUUGGAGCUCGAAAAAAUCAAAAUCCUCACCGUCCUCGUCUGACCCAUCAACACCAUCAUCGUCAAUACCCAUAUCGAGAAUAUCAAAAGCGAAAACGAGCUCAAAUUCAAGAUCAAGAUCUUGGUGUGUGUAUCUUAUCCUUUCCACCAACGCCCCCAUCAAAACCUAUGUUGGUGUCACCAACAAUUUCUCUCGCCGGUGCGUUUUACUUCUUUGAUUCAGUUCUCAUUUCUUUAAAUUCAAUGAAAAUGCUGAAAUGGGUUAUAUUUCAUAUGAUUUUAUAGCUCUUAUAAAUGGUUUAAUUGUCUUCAUGCCUUGAAUGUUGUGGAAAUGAUAUUGUAGUCCUGUCUAGUAUUGGAAAUUUAAGAACUUGAUGAUAUAUUUAUCUGUUUUUAUGGAUCAAUGAAUCCGCCAAUAGAAUGUGCAUUACGCCUGUUCAAUUUGUGUGAUAGAAAUGCAAAUUUUCUGUAUACUUUUGGGAGAAUGGAGAAGAGGACUGCUUGAAUGACUUGUUUUGUUAUUUGAUUUUCUCUUGCCAAUUUAGUGAUCUAGAACAAACUCAGUUUAUGGACACAAAAUUGGGGAUCAUAAAUUAUAUGGCUUGGAUUAAAAAAAAAAAAAUCAGAAGUUAAUGAAGAGGGUUCUAAAAUGAUCAGUGAAAUUUUAAGUAUGGCUAUGAUAUUCUAACAUUCUAUGGAUGUUGUGAAAGAGGAGAGGUCGCUUUGCCUAGUUACUUUGAAUCUUUUUAGGGAUUGUAGGCAAUAUUAACAUGGUCAUCAUUAACAAAGGUCAUGGGAGAAUUCCUAGGCUGGCAACCAAGAGAUUUAGGAUUAUGACUUUACUUGAGAGCAGUUCAAUUAUGUAAAAAGGGCAGUUAGAAUUCCCAGCACCCAAAUUUGAUGGGAUUAUAACUAGGUAAUGGCCCACGCACCAUUUUUUAGUGGAAUGGCUGGAGUCUUGGUUUGUUAUCAACAGGUUACAAGGCCUAAUAAUUGUUGCUUCAUGUGAAAAAUACUGCCUCCAACUGCACAACACCAUACUGAUAGAAUCAGGAAAUAGAAUUUAUAGAAAUGAGAAGAAACAAGAAGUGAUAAGAAACCAGAGAGAGGAGGAAAAAAAAGAGAGAAUUGCAGAAGAAAUGAGAAGGAUAAAUCUUAUUCAUCAAUCAUCAAGAAUCUAGAAUGAAUUAAAAUGCUGAGAUUGCAGCUAUUGUAGUUCCUGAACUAACUAUACAUGCGUACAGUUCUGACUAGCUCGCUUUCUCUAUUCCCACGCCUGCUAUAACAAACUCCAACAGUUCAACGGUCUGGUCACAAUAAUUACUUCUUGGCAUGCUUGACACACUCGAGAUAACACGCACCGCUUCUUUUAUUGAUACUCUUGCCUUAUUCAUUCUUAUGACAUUGUAUCGCAUACUUCUGAAACUUUUUGAUUACUAGGUUGUGGUUUUUAUUCCUAGGUCAGGAGAACCUUGGUAUCCUUCAUAAGUCAGCUGGUAGCACAAAUUAUGGAAAUAAUUGUAUUUUUUUUGAAACUGGCACUUCUCUUGCAGUUUAAAACAACAUAAUGGCGAACUUAAAGGUGGUGCAAAAGCAUCUCGUGCAGGAAGGCCAUGGAUUUUUGCAUGCAUAAUUCGAGGUUUUAAUGACCAAAGUGAAGCUUGUGAGUUCGAAUCAAAAUGGAAAAGUCUGUCAAGAAAAAUGCCUCGGAAAGGAAAGAGUGAUGACACUGUGAAGCAGAGUGUUGAUGGGUCGCAUGCACUAUUGCAACACAGGCAGACAGCUCUAGGUAGAGUUAAAGGCUCAUUUGAUUGCAGUCACUUAGAGAUUGAUUGGAAAUUGAAUCCUUUCUAGUUUGAAAUGUAAAAUGGUGCUGGCCAUAUUUUUCAAACUGUAGUUUAUAGUCUAUUCAAUAUUUAUGGUAGCCAAAAUAAUGUGUAAGGUGUGAAUAAUGUGAUUUUUCACUUAUAACCAAAUCAGAGAUGAUUGUUAUAUUAGUUAAAAAACAAAAACAGAAAAAAGAAUCAUUGUCCGCUUGCAAAUUGUAGUGUUGGAUAGCAAAGGGCUUAUGCAUAUGUGAGGGCCGGUGAAAUGUACUAUUUCUGUUGUCUUAAUGAAUGAGAAGUGUGUAUAUUUGGAAUGCAUGAUAACUCUUCCUUCGUUUGUGUUCACUUUCUCAUUUGUUAUUUUUUCAUGUUCACUCUUAGCUUUAAUAUAUAUGAGAAUUACAUCAGUGAUAUGUUUUAGUAGAUUGUAACAAGUUACAGUUAGCCAAUGUCUAAUGCUCUUCUUAUCUGCAAAUCAAGUAUUUCCAGGGGUGGAAGUACAAAAU
rnacentral:misc_RNA from 1 species